UACAGAGGUCCCGAGCGUUGUUCGGAUUCACUGGGCGUAAAGGGUGCGUAGGUGGCAUGGCAAGUUUGAUGUGAAAGCUCAGGGCUUAACCCUGAAAUGGCAUUGAAUACUGCCGUGCUGGAGGUUUGGAGGGGGGACUGGAAUUCUUGGUGUAGCAGUGAAAUGCGUAGAUAUCAAGAGGAACACCAGUGGCGAAGGCGAGUCCCUGGACAACACCUGACACUGAGGCACGAAAGCUAGGGGAGCAAACGGG
rnacentral:rRNA from 1 species